rnacentral:rRNA from 1 species
GACGAACGCUGGCGGCGUGCCUAAUACAUGCAAGUCGAACGCAGUGGGGACGGGUGAGUAACACGUGGGUAACCUCCCAUCAGCGGGGAUAACACUUGGUACCAGGUCCUCAACCGAUACUGAUGGAUGGACCCGCGUUGCAUUAGCUAGUUGGUGCGGUAACGGCUCACCAAGGCCACGAUGCAUAGCCGAACGGAGAGCGGUGUGGGCCCCACAGAGACUGAGACACGGCCCAGACUCCUACGUGAGGUAGCAGGAAGGAAUGUUCUGCAGUGGACGAAAGUCUGACCGGUCAACGACGCGGGAGGGAAAAAGGGUGUGGGAUCGUAAAACUCGGUUGUUAUAGAAGGGGUAUCUAACCAGAAAGGCAAGGCUAACUACGUGCCAGCAGCCGCGGGAAUAC